rnacentral:rRNA from 1 species
GAUGAACGCUGGCGGCGUGCCUAAUACAUGCAAGUCGAGCGAACAGAUGAGGAGCUUGCUCCUCUGACGUUAGCGGCGGACGGGUGAGUAACACGUGGAUAACCUACCUAUAAGACUGGGAUAACUUCGGGAAACCGGAGCUAAUACUGGAUAAUAUAUUGAACCGCAUGGUUCAAUAGUGAAAGACGGUUUUGCUGUCACUUAUAGAUGGAUCCGCGCCGCAUUAGCUAGUUGGUAAGGUAACGGCUUACCAAGGCAACGAUGCGUAGCCGACCUGAGAGGGUGAUCGGCCACACUGGAACUGAGACACGGUCCAGACUCCUACGGGAGGCAGCAGUAGGGAAUCUUCCGCAAUGGGCGAAAGCCUGACGGAGCAACGCCGCGUGAGUGAUGAAGGUCUUCGGAUCGUAAAACUCUGUUAUUAGGGAAGAACAAAUGUGUAAGUAACUAUGCACGUCUUGACGGUACCUAAUCAGAAAGCCACGGCUAACUACGUG